rnacentral:tRNA from 1 species
GCCGGGAUGGUGGAAUUGGUAGACACGCCAGCUUGAGGGGCUGGUGGGCGCUUUAGCCCGUGCAGGUUCAAAUCCUGUUCCCGGCACCA